rnacentral:rRNA from 1 species
UAUGUGAUCGUCUCUCGCAUAUCAAUAAGCGGAGGAAAAGAAACUAACGAGGAUUCCCCUAGUAACGGCGAGUGAAGCGGGAAGAGCUCAAAUUUGAAAUCUUAAAGGGUUUCCCUUUACGAAUUGUAGUUUAAAGAAGUGUUUUCUGUUGAGGUUUUGGUAAAAGUUCUUUGGAAUAGGACAUCAUAGAGGGUGAGAAUCCCGUAUUUGACCUUUACUUUCAACUUUGUGAUACACUUUCAAAGAGUCGGAUUGUUUGGGAACUGCAGUCCAAAAUGGGUGGUAAAUUUCAUCUAAAGCUAAAUAUUGGCGAGAGACCGAUAGCGAACAAGUACCGUGAGGAAAGAUGAAAAGAACUUUGAAAAGAGAGUUAAACAGUACGUGAAAUUGUCAAAAGGGAAGCGUUUGACACCAGUGUUGUUUUUCUGAAAAUCAAUUAAAGAACUGUUUAUGCUAAGUUGUUUAGACUUUAUCAGCUAUCUGUUUAGUUUUGAGCUUCUCUUUAAUGCACUUUUCAGUUAACAAGUCAACAUCAAUUUCUUUUGCUGUAAAAAAGCUUGAGGAAGGUGGCUUGAGAUUCGUCUUAAGUGUUUAUAGCCUCUUGCCUAUGCAGUCGGAGAGAUUGAGGUCUGCAGCGUAGAUCCUUCGGGGCUAGAUGCAUUUGUGCUAAGUUAUAGCAUUUUAUAGACAACUUGUUGACUAUGAUUUGUCUUGUAGCUUACUCGCUUAUGUUAUUUUACCUACGCUUAGGAUGUUGAAGAUAUGCGCGACACG